AGUCCCAGUCCCCACCGCGCUCCCCAGGCUGCCCGCACACGGGUCACGGCGGGAAGGGCGGGGGGGGGGGGGGGGGCCGCAGCCUCACCACCGCCCCGGCUGCGCGCCCGCACCGUGCCGAGGCUGCCCCCGUCACCACAGGGCUGAUCCGGCCCGGCCCCACCGAAGGAGCGCGGCGACAACCUCCGGGCCGCGCCCCGGGGCACUGCCGCCGCCCUCCCCCCGGCCAGGGCUCCUCCAGGCGCUGCCGGCGGCUCCUCCCAGCCCCAGCCGGCGCCCCCCGCCGUGGCCCAGGAAGGCUCCCCCGAGCGGCCGCAGGGCGCUGGCUGCCCUCCUCCGCGCCUCGUCCCCCUCGGCGCCCGCGGAGAGAAGGAGGGAGGAACGACGGUGCAGUGUCCUUCCUUUCUCAGUAGAGCAAUUUGUGAUGGAGAUCGCCAGUGGCACCUGCAAAGUACUGUAUUCCUGUUCCAUUCAAAAUCACUAGCUGGCGAAACUGGAGAAUUCAACACUGCUGUUAAAUGGAUUUAUUUGGGAAUUAGCAGAACCAUGUUUUACCUGAUUGACUCACCUUAUAAAAACAAGAGACAACGAUGGCUGGAUCUCAGACCUGCACACCAGGCUUGCGCAAUUAUUUCCUCCGUGAACUUG